rnacentral:rRNA from 1 species
UACGUAGGGGGCAAGCGUUGUCCGGAAUCAUUGGGCGUAAAGCGCGUGUAGGCGGCUUGGUAAGUCCGCUCUGAAAGCCCGGGGCUCAACCCCGGGAGGCGGGUGGAUACUGUCAAGCUCGAGUCCGGAAGAGGCGAGUGGAAUUCCUGGUGUAGCGGUGAAAUGCGUCGAUAUCAGGAGGAACACCAGUGGCGAAGGCGGCU